ACUCCUACGGGAGGCAGCAGUGGGGAAUAUUGCACAAUGGGCGCAAGCCUGAUGCAGCCAUGCCGCGUGUAUGAAGAAGGCCUUCGGGUUGUAAAGUACUUUCAGCGGGGAGGAAG
rnacentral:rRNA from 1 species